CGAACAACAAACAUAAAGUUAGCACACUUGUAAGUUAACACACGUUAUUUUCUUUAUUGUAAUGAAUUGUUUAAGCAUUUUUAUGUUAUUAUGUUUUGUUGUGGCGGUUCUUGGCCAAGGAUUUCCAACAAAAAAAUGCCCUCCCGGCGAACAUUCCGUGCUAUAUUGUCCAAGAGUGUACGAGCCAUCAUGUGACAACCCUGACACGAAGAACCUCGUGAGGAAGAAUGGCGCGUGUGACAUCCCUGAUUGCUUCUGUGACACCCCUACUGUGAGGAACACGGACACUGGAAAGUGUGUUCUAGUAUCAGACUGUUAAAAAAAAUUAAGUGAAUUUCCUUUUUUGUAUGUAAACUUUAUUGAACCAAAUAAAUGUUAAGUUCCAAAA